GCUGCUGGGAAUCCUUGGGUGGAGGGUGGGAAUGGCCACUUCCCACAUGGCCUCCGCACCCUCAGGGUGCUCCCUCCCUCACAACCUGACCGAAACCCUCCACAAGGAAUCAUGAACUGGGAAGGCUUCAGGUUAAAAUAACUGCAAGGGAUCGGUGUGGCAGAUAAGAGGUGACCUUAGGACUGUGGAGGUGUGGCGUCUGCUCACAGCUUUGUUUAGUGAUUUCUCUUAGGAGAUUAAAGUCAUCCCGUGUUCACACGGACAAGGAGUUCUGCUGCGUGAAUAUCCUCCCAGUGUUAGAAGAAAGGUCACAUGAGGGGUUUUCUUUUUUGCAACUAUGUAGCUGUUUUGAAGCUUGGGCAAAAUCCCAGGCAGCCUUUGACACAUCCAACAGGAAGCUUGGUAUAGACACUUCCAGGGGAAGAACGUGACUGUGAACAGCACAGGCAAGCAAAGACAUAAAUAGUCAUCAAAGAGAUAUAAUUAGACAAUGUACAUGCAGUGUUUGAAAGAUGAGAAAAUAAACAACAAUUCAAGUG